CUUCCCUUCCCUGAGUCUUAACUCUCUCUUGUCUGCUGUAUGAGGCUCCUGCAGCUGCUGUAACAGAGCGCCACAUGCCGGGCAGCUUAAAUUUACUCCCUCCUGGUCUGGAGGUCGGAAGCCUGAAAUCAAGGUGCCGGCACGGCCGCGCUCCCUCCAGAGCCAAGGGGAGGAUCCUUCCUGCCGCUUCCAGCUCCUGGGGGCUGCUGGCGCUCCUGGGCUCGCGGCCGCACCACUCUGGUCUCUGCCUCUGUCUUCACGUGGCCAUCUUCCCUCUGAAUCUGUGUCUUUUCUUCUUACAAGGACCCCAGUCAUUACAUUUAGGGCCCCCCAAUCCAGUAUGAGCUCAACCAAUUAUAUCUACAAAGACCCAGUUACCAAAUAAGGUCACACUCUGAGGUUUUGGGUGGAUGUGAAUUCUGGGGGGACACUGUUUAACCCACUGUAUCUACCAGUUGAAGCUAGUCACGCCUGCCUCAGAUUAUGGUUGGGGGUCCAAGUAGGUGGAGGCUCUCCCUGCCGACCCUGCCAGGGCCGCCUUCCCUACAGCCAGGAGCCGAGAUGGAGAAAUGAAGGUAACCUGCCCCGUGGCAGGGGUGGGCUGCUGUGUCCGCUGAACACGUUACCUUCUGCGGGUGGGAGGAAGGAGCCUGCACUCCCCUGUGGCAGCGCACAGCCUGCGGGAUCCCAGUUCCCCGGCCAGGGAUUGAACCCAGGCCCCCCUGCAGUGGAAGUGCGGAGUCCCAAACACUGGACCGCCAGGGAAUUUCCACCGUCCCCAUUUUUCAGGGGAGGAAACUGAGGCUCACAGGGGUGCAGUUACUCAUCCAGGGGCUUAGCUUCGGCUGACAUGAACCAGGGUGGUCUGAGUCCCCAGCCCCUGCACCGACUGUGUAUCAUCAUACCGGCUGCCACCAAGACAGAACACCCAGCCUGCGCAAGCAGCUGGCCCCUGGGACGUCCCCAGCCCAGGGACGCCACACGUGUGUAUGGCAUCUGAGGUUCACCAACGCCCCCCUUCACCGUAUCUGAUGCCAUGUGGCCCUUGGCACCUCGGGGAGUGGUGCAUUGGGGGGGGGGGUCCCUGUUGCACUGAGGGUGAGGAUGCCAAAUCCCUGCUGCAUCCCCAGGGCUGAUGGAUAAGCUUUGAUCGUUCUGAGUCAGUUUCUGCAUCUGUAAAAUGGGCUAACACUUUACCAUCUUCCUCAGAGGGUAAUCGUGAGGGUGAGGUGAAAAAACACAAGGGGAAAUCCGGCCUGUGGGCUCAGAGGGCUGGAUGUGGGGCCCACAGCAUGAGCAAGAGGCCCCAAGGGUCACGUGACAAAGGGCGGGAUGUCAUCCCGCCAAACUGUGUAGCUGGUUGCCCAGCAAGUUGCCUGCCCAAGCGGCCCCUUUGCACAUGUGCAUCCCAUCCCCCCAAAAGGUCCUGGAGUCCAGGCGAGACUCAGGAUGAGCCGUGGCAGUUGCCUCCCAGUGGACACACGUGGGUCCACGUCCUGCCUCUGCCUCUGCAGGCUUGGCCGUAGAGACCUCUUCUGCCCCGUGCCCCGGGCCGCGCGCACGUGUGCUCUCCUGGCUCCCAGACCCUGCCGACAGGUCGGGGUUUAACCGUCGUCCUCUAGGCAGUGCCUCCGUGACACCCACUGCCCUGGGCCCCUGUUCUGUGCCUCCAGUACCCGCCCCCCCCCCAUGCUGCUGCUCCGGUGAUUACUAGGGAGUGGGAGCUGCGUGAGGUAGGGCCCCCCCGAGGCCUCUCCUGUCCCACUGGCUCUGGGCACAUUGCAGGAGCUGGCCAAUGGCCUGGCCCCUGGGGGACUGGCCGUGUGUGGUUUGUAAAGGAAUCCUUUUCCCCUGGGCCACUCUUUAAUCAGGUGCUUCAGUGUGGACCUGCGGAAACAUUUGUUGAAAGACCAUUGGUCAUUCAGUUGGUCAUUCAGCCGGUAUUCAGUGAGUGACCAGUGUGUCCUGGGCGCCAGGUGACCGUGGCCUGAGAGGUAAAGAGGAGGAGGUGGCCUGGGGUCAUCGUUAUUAUCAAUAUUGUCGUCAUCAGUAAAAGUCUGCUUUACCCCA